rnacentral:rRNA from 1 species
AUACGGAGGGUGCGAGCGUUAAUCGGAAUUACUGGGCGUAAAGCGCGCGUAGGCGGAUAAUUAAGUCAGAUGUGAAAUCCCCGGGCUCAACCUGUGAACUGCAUUUGAUACUGAUUAACUAGAGUAUGGUAGAGGUGAGUGGAAUUUCCGGUGUAGCGGUGAAAUGCGUAGAGAACGGAAGGAACACCAGUGGCGAAGGCGACUCACUGGGCCAUUACUGACGCUGAGGUGCGAAAGCGUGGGUAGCAAACAGGAUUAGAAACCCUAGUAGUCC